rnacentral:misc_RNA from 1 species
UCAACCCUCAAGCCCGGCUUGUUAUUGGGUCCUUUAUCGAUUUGAAGAUAGGCCCGAAAGAUAAUGGCGGCGUCAAGAAUGACCCCAGGUGCAGCGAGCAAUCAAGCAUACACUGAGGUGGUCUUCUUCGGCCCGGCCCUAUUUGUUAUUCAUAACUCUUAA